rnacentral:rRNA from 1 species
UUGGCGGACGGGUGAGUAACGCGUGGGCAACCUGCCUCGUGCCGGGGGAUACCGCCUGGAAACAGGCGCUAAUACCGCAUAAGCGCAUACAGCCGCAUGGCAGUAUGCGGAAAGCUCCGGCGGCACGGGAUGGGCCCGCGCCCGAUUAGCCAGUUGGCGGGGUAACGGCCCACCAAAGCGACGAUCGGUAGCCGGCCUGAGAGGGCGGACGGCCACAUUGGGACUGAGACACGGCCCAAACUCCUACGGGAGGCAGCAG